GGUUGUGUAGUGUAGUGGUUAGCACAUUGGAUUUUGACGUCUUUUAAGCCGAAAUUCCAAUGACCUGGGUUCGAGUCCCAGCACGACCU